AAACCAACAGGGAUUGCCUCAGUAACGGCGAGUGAAGCGGCAAAAGCUCAAAUUUGAAAUCCCCCGGGAAUUGUAAUUUGAAGAGAUUUGGGUCCGGCCGGCAGGGGUUAAGUCCACUGGAAAGUGGCGCCACAGAGGGUGACAGCCCCGUGAACCCCUUCAACGCCCUCAUCCCAGAUCUCCAAGAGUCGAGUUGUUUGGGAAUGCAGCUCUAAGUGGGUGGUAAAUUCCAUCUAAAGCUAAAUACCGGCGAGAGACCGAUAGCGAACAAGUACAGUGAUGGAAAGAUGAAAAGCACUUUGAAAAGAGAGUGAAAAAGUACGUGAAAUUGUUGAAAGGGAAGGGCUUGCAAGCAGACACUUAACUGGGCCAGCAUCGGGGCGGCGGGAAACAAAACCACCGGGGAAUGUACCUUUCGAGGAUUAUAACCCCGGUCUCGAUUUCCUUGUUGCCCCGAGGCCUGCAAUCUAAGGAUGCUGGCGUAAUGGUUGCAAGUCGC
rnacentral:rRNA from 1 species